rnacentral:tRNA from 1 species
GCGGGAUUAGUAUAAUGGCAGUGCGCAACCUUCCCAAGGUUGAGGCGCGAGUCCGAUUCUCGCAUCCCGCU